rnacentral:lncRNA from 1 species
UCUCUCAGAAAGCUCUUCAAAUUUUUGUCUCUGAGCUCUCCCUCUGAAUUUGAUACCCAUGCGGUCAAUAUGUGCCAUCAGAUUAGAGUUAACUAAAGAAAAGAAAAACAAGAGUUUAGUCAGGAUUUGGCCAAAUGCCGAAAGAAGAAAAAAAGGAAGAAAAAUUUAAUUAAAAUAAAGAAUACGGAGAAUGAAAACUAAAUAAAAUUAAAAAGAGAAUAAUCAAAGAAGAAAUAAAAAUAAAAAUUU